rnacentral:misc_RNA from 1 species
GUUCUAGAGAGAGAAAAACCUCUCAAAAAUUUUUCUUCUUCGUCUCUCGAGUUCCGCCAAGUCCUUGCCUCCAAUGUGGCAAGGGAAGGCGUCCUCUCCGGCUUCAUCAUGGUUCUCCCUCCACUCCCUCCUUGGGCUAGUUUGUUUGGUUUUGCAAAUCUUGUUCGUUCAUGGUGAGGUGUCUUUGAAUAGAUCCGAUCGAGGAACCUUUGACGAUGGUAGCUCCGGGAUUUUCAAGGUUUUCUCUUUUUGAAAACUGAUUCUAAAGGCUAAACAAGAUUGAGAAGCCAAAGAGAGCUCUACCUGGCUAACCUCUCCGAGCCAUGGUUAUCGUUCUGUGGAGUUGGUUUUAGGGGCCUGGUGUGGUCUGGGGUUGGGUAUAUGGACGGCUGUUGCCUAGCGUUCCUAGGUUGGGUUUAGGGUUGGGCUGCUGUAUGUGGUUGGAUCUGUCAUUGUAUUGGGCUAUGUCAAUGCAAUG